AUUCUGACCUCGUCCGGAGUAACCGGGGAGCUCACGGGAGCACCCAGUGCCGCGAGCAAGACGGAAGAUUUGACCGGGAACAAAAGACCGCUAGCCCGUCAGAAAACGCCACUGGAGCACACGGGUAACCUCUCUUUGUGUUCUGAAAACUCCUUAAUUAGCAAGUGCCCUGGUUUCUUACACGCAUUUAAACUCCUCUCCGCGCGUCUCAACUACAGGAUCAGGUCGCUGCGGCUGCAGCGCAGAGGGGACCCCGGGUGGCCACGCGCCCGAGAUCCAGGGAAAGCUCCGCAGUCCAAGGCGCGCUGCAAGCCGUCCCGUGUGCCCGGGCGUUCGGUCUCAGGAAUCCGCCCAGAGCGCUGCAGGCUCCGCCCCCCGGGCCUCCCUCGCCCCGCCCUCCAGACUUCCACCCAAUCCGGAGGCCGCCACACGGAAAACAAAGGCUGCCAUUGGGCCGCCCUGGAGCCCGAGGGCCCGCCCCCGGCGUGGUUUGUGAAUGGGGGGAGGGGAGGGGGCGGGGCGGCCCGGAGCCCCGCGAGCCCGACGCUUCUUCUGGCGAGUUGCGCGACUCCGAGGCGUUACUCUGCGCUCCCUCCCGGCGGGCGGCGGCGGCGGCGGCGGCGGCGGGCGGGCGGGCGGGCGCCGGGACACUCGGGCCGGGGCUUCGCGAGGCUGGAGAGGCCAGGCCCAGGCCGCGGGCAGCGGGCCCUCGCGGCUUCGGACGCAGUGCGACUGGAUUUCCAAAACGAACUCGCUGAGCUCUUGGCUGCAAAGCGCCGAUCGGACUCGGAGCGAGGAUCGCCCGCUUGGCAGAAACUUGGGGGCCGAGCUCUCGGGGCUGGAGAAGGAGCGGGGGAGUCGGAAAGGCGGCGGCGGCGGCGGCGGCGGCGGCGGCGGCGAGCAGAGCCUCGGCUCGCGGGCGGCGGCGCCGGCUCUCGCCCGCCGGGGGCCGGACUCGGCGCGGGGGGCGCGUGCGGAGCCGUGCGCUGUGGGCCGGCCGACUUUGGGCAAACUUUGAAGGGGAACCCGAGACGCUUGUUGCUCCUCGCCGCGGAGAACGCCGCACCGUUACGUCGCCGCGGGAGAAGGCGGCGGCCCCCGUCCGCGCCCCCGGCCCGGGCCGACGAGUCCGGGGCUCCCGGCGGCCGCCCCGCUGCUGGGCGGAGACGGCGGCGGCGCCCCCGCGGCGCGGGCACCCGGGCUGCAGCGCCCUGAGCUCCGCGCCGCCCACGCCCCGGCCGCGGCGCCGGGAGGACUCUCAUGCGCCGGGCGCGGCCGCGCCUCCCCGGAUCCAAGCCUCUCGCGGCCGCGUCGUCGCGCUGCUCGGGCUGAGAGCGC
rnacentral:lncRNA from 1 species